rnacentral:rRNA from 1 species
GCUUAGCCUUAAACUAAAAUAAUUAUCAAACAAAACUAUUUGCCUGAGAACUACUAGCUACAGCUUAAAACUCAAAGGACUUCGGCGGUACUUUAUAUCCACC